CUAUUUUCAUGGAUUACAAUCUUAUUGUUUUGCUUUGUCUAUUUGUCUCUGACAUCAUGAAUCAUAAAGUUUGUAUCAAUUGCAACUCAUUGUUCUGGAUUACUUUGACAGUUGAUCCGAAUACGUUGCCCGUCCAAGAUACUGUUUGCUCCUUCACGUCUUCUUUCAGAGAUAUUGUUUGCUGUUCUUUAUUGCUUUCUUCCCGCACGUGGUCGAUUCCUACAGUGCCUUCGACUUCACCGUCGCAGUCUGAUCAUUUGGCUUCUUCACAAUUUGGUUUUGUUGGGAUUGUAUGCGGAGCUGUUGGGAUUGUAUGCGGAGCUGUUGGCAGAAUUUUGUUUGAGAGAUUUGGUUGGUGACGAAGAAUUCUUGCCUAUUAAAGAAAGCUCAGUGGAUUUGGUUAUUAGUUGCUUGGGCCUUCACUGGACUAAUGAUCUUCCAGGAGCAAUGAUACAAUCUAUGUUGGCAUUAAAGCCAGAUGGCCUGUUUUUAGCAGCUAUCCUCGGAGGAGAAACAUUAAGGGAACUCAGAAUAGCUUGUACUGUAGCACAAAUGGAACGCGAAGGAGGGAUCAGUCCCCGAGUUUCACCUUUAGUACAGGAUCCUUGAUUCCUCUCUCACUGCAUCUGCUUCUCUAGAGUGUUCGCUGAGGAUGGCGUUCAUAUCAUCUCAGGUCAUAAAGGAUGCAACUCAUGGAAGUGAACCUGGAAAAACAAUAUCACUCUAAGUUUUUAAUGCGUUGAUUUGUAUAGAUCAUGAGCGAUAUUUGAUAGAAUUAUUUGAGAAGUAUUUGAGAAGUAUGUGAUUUCUUAUUUUGUUGAUGACUUUUCUAUUGAAAAGUUCUAUCUAUUCAUUGUAUUUACUUAUGUUUUUGUUUUAUAUGAUUGACAAGACAUUAUUCAAUGUUCAUA